rnacentral:snoRNA from 1 species
GCUACCUCUAGAAGCAUUUGCAGGAGUAGCUACUGUGUCACAUGUGUGUCAGUAGGUGGCAGAGAGGAGAGAGGCGAUGUCUAUGUUCAGUGUUCAUCUGAAUAAAUAGCAGUCUAACACU